GCUAUAUCACCCUGUAGCCCAAGACUAAUCACCAACUGAAGCUAAGCAGGGUUGAGCCUGGUCAGUACCUGGAUGGGAGACCUCCUGGGAAAACUAGGUUGC
rnacentral:rRNA from 1 species